rnacentral:lncRNA from 1 species
CCAAAUCUAAAUGCUAUCUUAGCCUUUGAUGAGUCACAGACCCCUUGCAGUGUGUCAUUUGGGGUGGGGGGCAUGUCCUACGAAAAAUCUCAAAUGGUAUUUUAUUAGUUCAUUACCUUUAACCAGGCCAGGUAUGGGGGCAAGGGGGCUUGAUGAAGGGUUGUUGGGCCAAGCCAGGCCAGGGUUGGGCUCUUGUGGGGGCUAAUGCCCCUCAGUGGUGGAGGGGGACCAGGUCUUUGUCCCAGUGGAGGGGAUUACACCGGCGGGGCGGCCCUAACAAUGUCUCCCCUCCUGGGAGGGCUGGGCAAACCUGCUCCCCCCAAUGACGGGUGUGGUCAACUGCUCACUGACUCAGUUAAACACAGUGAGAGAGAGGAGGAGAAGAGAGGGAUAGGAGGAGGAGAUGAAUGGAGGGGAGAGAGAAGAAUGAGCAGCAUGGAGUGAUACUCAACAAGGGUAACAGGGUAACAGAGAAGGAGAAAGUGGAGAGGAGAGGAUGGAGGUUGGAGAAGAAGAGGGUGGAGGUUGGAGGAGGAGAGGGUGGAGGUUGGAGGAGGAGAGGAUGGAGGUUGGAGGGGGAACGAGUUAAGGUUGGAGGAGGAGAGGAUGGAGGUAGGAGGAGGAGAGGAUGGAGGUAGGAGGAGGAGAGGAUGGAGGUUGGAGGGAGAGCGAGUUAAGGUUGGAGGAGGAGAGGAUGGGGUAGGAGGAGGAGAGGAUGGAGGUUGGAGGAGGAGAGGAUGGAGGUUGGAGGAGGAGAGGAUUAAGGUAGGAGGAGGAGAGGAUGGAGGUAGGAGGGAGAGCGAGUUAAGGUUGGAGGAGGAGAGGAUGGAGGUUGGAGGAGGAGAGGAUGGAAGUUGGAGGAGGAGAGGAUGGAGGUUGGAGGAGGAGAGGGUGGAGGUUGGAGGAGGAGAGGAUGGAGGUUGGAGGAGGAGAGGUUGGCGGGAGGAGGAGGAGAGGAUGGAGGUUGGAGGAGGAGAGGAUGGAGGUUGGAGGAGGAGAGGAUGGAGGUUGGAGGAGGAGAGGAUGGAGGUUGGAGGAGGAGAGGAUGGAGGUUGGAGGGAGAGCGAGUUAAGGUUGGAGGAGGAGAGGAUGGCGGUAGGAGGAGGAGAGGAUGGAGGUUGGAGGAGGAGAGGAUGGAGGUAGGAGGAGGAGAGGAUGGAGGUUGGAGGAGGAGAGGAUGGAGGUAGGAGGAGGAGAGGAUGGAGGUUCGAGGAGGAGAGGAUGGAAGUAGGAGGAGGAGAGGAUGGAGAUAGGAGGAGGAGAGGAUGGAGGUAGGAGGGGGAGAGGGUGGAGGUUGGAGGAGGAGAGGAUGGAAGUAGGAGGAGGAGAGGAUGGAGGUAGGAGGAGGAGAGGAUGGAGGUAGGAGGAGGAGAGGGUGGAGGUAGGAGGGGGAGAGGGUGGAGGUUGGAGGAGGAGAGUAUUAAGGUAGGAGGAGGAGAGGAUGGAGGUAGGAGGAAGAGAGGGUGAAAGGAUCAGGUGUGGUAGGAGGAGGAGAGGGUGAAAGGAUCAGGUGUGGUAGGAGGAGGAGAGGGUGAAAGGAUCAGGUGUGGUAGGAGGAGGAGAGGAUGAAAGGAUCAGGUGUGGUAGGAGGAGGAGAGGAUGAAAGGAUCAGGUGUGGUAGGAGGAGGAGAGGAUGAAAGGAUCAGGUGUGGUAGGAGGAGGAGAGGAUGAAAGGAUCAGGUGUGGUAGUAGGAGGAGAGGAUGAAAGGAUCAGGUGUGGUAGGAGGGAAAGGAGACCAGUGGCUCAAAGAACAAGAAGAUAAAUAAAGGAGUGAAGGAGAAGAGCGGAAUGGUGAGCUAGGUGAGGAUGACUCUGCAGGUACUGGAUGUAAAAUGUGUAAGUCUGAGGCCUUUCCUUAUGUACUUCAAUAUCAAAGUCCUCAUUAUGCCCACGCACACCGCCCAUUCAAAUCCAAUGACAAAUGCACCAGAUAAUUCCAUUAGGGGGGACUUCUAUAGAGGAUAUUUAGGGGACAGUAGAGAAAUCCAGGUAACAUAGCUCAACGCGGGCAAAGACAGAUAUGGCUCCGUAACACUUAUCAGGGAUUUGGCAGCCCUGUUGAUUGAACAUGCCAAGUCCCAUUUGUCGGAGGGGUGUGCACGUUUGUAUCGACACGCUGUAACCUUGUGGCUCCACAGAAGGAGACAUCAGAUGUGCUGCUAGCGGGCACACAGGCAGACAGGCAGGCAAGCAGGAGAGGGUGGGUGGGUUGGUAGGCUCCCCUCCUCUUCCCUUCUCUCUACUUCUCUCUCUCCUACUCUCUUCUCCUCUUCCGGCUGCAGUGGACAGGAGCCCCCCUCCUCCAUCCCCAGUGGACGGGAGCCCCCCUCCUCCCUCCAUCCCCAG